CCUACGGGAGGCAGCAGUGAGGAAUAUUGGUCAAUGGGCGGGAGCCUGAACCAGCCAAGUCGCGUGAGGGAUGAAUGUCCUACGUGUUGUAAACCUCUUUUAUAAGGGAAUAAAGUGUGGGACGUGUCCCUUUUUGUGUGUACCUUAUGAAUAAGGAUCGGCUAACUCCGUGCCAGCAGCCGCGGUAAUACGGAGGAUCCGAGCGUUAUCCGGAUUUAUUGGGUUUAAAGGGUGCGGAGGGGGGUUGUUAAGUCAGUGGUGAAAGUCUGGGGCUCAACCGUAGAAUUGCAGUUGAUACUGGCAGUCUUGAGUACGGUUGAGGUAGGCGGAAUGCGUGGUGUAGCGGUGAAAUGCUUAGAUAUCACGCAGAACUCCGAUUGCGAAGGCAGCAUACCGA
rnacentral:rRNA from 1 species